rnacentral:rRNA from 1 species
CCUACGGGAGGCAGCAGUGGGGAAUAUUGCACAAUGGGCGCAAGCCUGAUCCAGCCAUGCCGCGUGUAUGAAGAAGGCNUUCGGGUNGUAAAGUANUUUCAGCGGGGAGGAAGGAGAUNCG